UACGUAGGGUGCGAGCGUUGUCCGGAAUUAUUGGGCGUAAAGAGCUCGUAGGCGGCUUGUUGCGUCUGCCGUGAAAAUUCACAGCUUAACUGUGGACGUGCGGUGGAUACGGGCAGACUGGAGUUCGGCAGGGGAGACUGGAAUUCCUGGUGUAGCGGUGGAAUGCGCAGAUAUCAGGAGGAACACCGGUGGCGAAGGCGGGUCUCUGGGCAGUAACUGACGCUGAGGAGCGAAAGCGUGGGGAGCGAACAGG
rnacentral:rRNA from 1 species